CCGGAUUAGCUGAGAGGUGGUGCAUGGCCGUCGUCAGUUCGUACUGUGAAGCAUCCUGUUAAGUCAGGCAACGAGCGAGACCCACGCCCACAGUUGCCAGCGUACUCUCUGGAGUGACGGGUACACUGUGGGGACCGCCGCUGCUAAAGCGGAGGAAGGAAUGGGCAACGGUAGGUCAGUAUGCCCCGAAUAUCCCGGGCUACACGCGAGCUACAAUGGUUGGUACAAUGGGUAUCUACCCCGAAAGGGGACGGGAAUCUCCUAAAACCAAUCUUAGUUCGGAUUGAGGGCUGCAACUCGCCCUCAUGAAGCUGGAAUCCGUAGUAAUCGCGUUUCAACAGAACGCGGUGAAUACGUCCCUGCUCCUU
rnacentral:rRNA from 1 species